rnacentral:rRNA from 1 species
AUGAACGCUGGCGGCGUGCUUAACACAUGCAAGUCGAACGAAGCAUUUGCGACAGAUUUUUUCGGAAUGAAGUUGCUUAUGACUGAGUGGCGGACGGGUGAGUAACGCGUGGGUAACCUGCCUUGUACUGGGGGAUAGCAGCUGGAAACGGCUGGUAAUACCGCAUAAGCGCACAAUGUUGCAUGACAUGGUGUGAAAAACUCCGGUGGUAUAAGAUGGACCCGCGUCUGAUUAGCUAGUUGGUGAGAUGACAGCCCACCAAGGCGACGAUCAGUAGCCGACCUGAGAGGGUGACCGGCCACAUUGGGACUGAGACACGGCCCAGACUCCUACGGGAGGCAGCAGUGGGGAAUAUUGCACAAUGGAGGAAACUCUGAUGCAGCGACGCCGCGUGAGUGAAGAAGUAAUUCGUUAUGUAAAGCUCUAUCAGCAGGGAAGAUAGUGACGGUACCUGACUAAGAAGCUCCGGCUAAAUACGUG